GACGAACGCUGGCGGCGUGCUUAACACAUGCAAGUCGAGCGGUAAGGCCCUUUCGGGGUACGACGAGCGGCGAACGGGUGAGUAACACGUGGGUGACCUGCCCUUACGCUCUGGGAUAAGCCUGGGAAACUAGGGUCUAAUACCGGAUAUGACUCCAUGACGCAUGUUGUGGGGUGGAAAGCCUUGUGCGGCUAGGGAUGGGCCCGCGGCCUAUCAGCUUGUUGGUGGGGUGAUGGCCUACCAAGGCGACGACGGGUAGCCGGCCUGAGAGGGCGACCGGCCACACUGGGACUGAGACACGGCCCAGACUCCUACGGGAGGCAGCAGUGGGGAAUCUUGCGCAAUGGGCGAAAGCCUGACGCGGCGACGCCGCGUGGGGAUGACGGCCUCGG
rnacentral:rRNA from 1 species